UGAGGUGUAGCUCAGUGGUGGAGUACUUGCCUAGCAUGCACAAAGCCCUGAGUUCAAUCCCCAGUACAGCAA
rnacentral:tRNA from 1 species